rnacentral:rRNA from 1 species
UACGUGGGGGGCUAGCGUUGUCCGGAUUUAUUGGGCGUAAAGAGCGUGUAGGCGGCCAAGUAAGUCCGGUGUGAAAACUCGAGGCUUAACCUCGAGAUGUCAUCGGAAACUAUUUGGCUAGAGUCCGGAAGAGGAGAGUGGAAUUCCUGGUGUAGCGGUGAAAUGCGCAGAUAUCAGGAAGAACACCUAUGGCGAAAGCAGCUCUCUGGGACGGUACUGACGCUGAGACGCGAAAGCGUGGGGAGCGAACAGG